GACGAACGCUGGCGGCGUGCUUAACACAUGCAAGUCGAACGGAAGGGCCUGCUUUCCCUUGUGGAUUGCGGGUACUCGAGUGGCGAACGGGUGAGUAACACGUGAGUGAUCUGCCCCCAACUUGGGUAUAAGCCUGGGAAACUGGGUCUAAUUCCCGAUAGGACUGCAGGGUGGUGCCUGUGGUGGAAAACGAUUUUCUAGUGGUUGGGGAUGAGCUCGCGGCCUAUCAGCUUGUUGGUGGGGUAAUGGCCUACCAAGGCGGCGACGGGUAGCCGGCCUGAGAGGGUGGACGGCCACAUUGGGACUGAGAUACGGCCCAGACUCCUACGGGGGGCAGCAGUGGGGAAUAUUGCACAAUGGGCGGAAGCCUGAUGCAGCGACGCCGCGUGGGGGAUGACGGCCUUCGGGUUGUAAACUCCUUUCGACCGCGAGGAAGCCACCUGGUUGGAAGGGUGGUGACGGUAGUGGUAGAAGAAGCACCGGCUAACUACGUG
rnacentral:rRNA from 1 species